rnacentral:rRNA from 1 species
GACGAACGCUGGCGGCGUGCCUAACACAUGCAAGUCGAGCGGGGAUUUAAGUGGAAGUUCUUCGGAAUGGAGAUUUAAAUUCUAGCGGCGGACGGGUGAGUAACGCGUGAACAAUCUGUCCCGGACAGGGGGAUAACACUUGGAAACAGGUGCUAAUACCGCAUAAGACCACGGCCUCGCAUGGGGCUGAGGUAAAAGGAGCAAUCCGGUUCGGGGUGAGUUCGCGUCCGAUUAGCUAGUUGGUGAGGUAACGGCCCACCAAGGCGACGAUCGGUAGCCGGCCGGAGAGGGUGAACGGCCACAUUGGAACUGAGAGACGGUCCAAACUCCUACGGGAGGCAGCAGUGGGGAAUAUUGGGCAAUGGGCGAAAGCCUGACCCAGCAACGCCGCGUGAGGGAAGAAGGUUUUCGGAUUGUAAACCUCUGUCCUAUGGGACGAAGGAAGUGACGGUACCAGAGGAGGAAGCCCCGGCUAACUACGUG